rnacentral:tRNA from 1 species
GGCGGUGUAGCCGAGUGGUUCAGGCACUGGUUUGCAAAACCUGGGACACGGGUUCGAAUCCCGUCACCGCCU